rnacentral:lncRNA from 1 species
AUCUGGAAAGGCCAAGAACAAGUUAAGGAUUAAAGUGCCAAAGGGAAAAGCCUGAGUUUUCCAGUGGUACUUAAAAACAACAGGCAUCACCAAAUACUUCUAAAAAGGGAUGACAAGGUGAAGAAUCUCACAGCUUUAGGUCAUCCAGACUUAAGAAUAUACAAAAUGCCUGAUUCUUGAUGGAUAUUUAGAUUUUACUGAUGGAUAACCAUAAGCCUGAACUCUACUACUGGAGAAUCAGUGCCACAUUUCCCUCCACUAAGGACUGCUCAUGGAGUGGUGUGAAUUUGAAGAAAAUGUUGGGAGACAUAUUGGUCAUUGAGAAGAAUUGCCAACAAUGAGAAACGGGACCAUUUUUACCCCUCCA